UACGUAGGUGGCAAGCGUUGUCCGGAAUUAUUGGGCGUAAAGCGCGCGCAGGCGGUCCUUUAAGUCUGAUGUGAAAGCCCACGGCUCAACCGUGGAGGGUCAUUGGAAACUGGGGGACUUGAGUGCAGGAGAGAAGAGUGGAAUUCCUGGUGUAGCGGUGGAAUGCGCAGAUAUCAGGAGGAACACCAAUAGCGAAGGCAGCUCGCUGGGACGGUAUUGACGCUGAGGCGCGAAAGCGUGGGGAGCAAACAGG
rnacentral:rRNA from 1 species